rnacentral:rRNA from 1 species
AUUGAACGCUGGCGGCAGGCAUAACACAUGCAAGUCGAGCGGAGCGGCGGAAGGGUGAGUAAUGCCUAGGAAUCUGCCUGGUAGUGGGGGAUAACGUCCGGAAACGGGCGCUAAUAUCGCAUACUAUCAGAGGAGCCUAGGUCGGAUAAGCUAGUUGGUGGGGUAAAGGCAUACCAAGGCUACGAUCCGUAACUGGUCUGAGAGGAUGAUCAUUCACACUGGAACUGGGACACGGUCCAGACUCCGACGGUAGGCAGCAGGGGGGAAUAUUGGACAAUGGGCGAAAGCCUGAUCCAGCCAUGCCGCGUGGUGGAAGAAGGUCUUCGGAUUGUAAAGCACUUUAAGUUGGGAGGCGUUACCAACAGAAUAAGCACCGGCUAACUUCGUGCCAGCAGCCGCGGUAAUAC